UACGAAGGGGGCGAGCGUUAUUCGGAAUCACUGGGCGUAAAGCGUGCGUAGGCUGCUUGGAAAGUUGGAAGUGAAAGCCCAGGGCUCAACCCUGGAAUUGCUUUCAAAACUACCAGGCUCGGAUUCGGGAGAGGAUAGCGGAAUUGUCAGUGUAGCAGUGAAAUGCGUAGAUAUAGGAAGGAACACCAGUGGCGAAGGCGACCACCUGGACUGAUACUGACACUGAGGUGCG
rnacentral:rRNA from 1 species